AUUUAAAUAUUUAUUUUAUAAAUUUUUACAUAAAAUAUUUUAUAGUUUUAUUAUAGUUUUAAGAAAAAAUUUUAUUAAUUAUAUAUAAUAGUAUAGUGAUAGAAUAUUGAAAUAAUAUGAAAAUUAAAAUUUUUAAAAGAAUAAUUAAAUUUUAGUACCUUGUGUAUCAGGGUUUAUUAAUAAAUAAUUAUUUAUUUAAUUUUCUCGAUUUUAAAAGAGUUAAAUUUAUAUUUAUUUUAAUGUAAAAUAAUUAUUUAAAAUAUAAAUUUAGUAAUGAAAUGUUAUUCGUUUUUAAAUAUAUCUAGUUUUUUAAGAAAUAAAUUUAAUUUAUUUAUUAAUAAAAAUUAUUUUUAUUUAAUAAUUUAAUUUUAUUAAUAUUAAAUAUUUUAAGGGAUAAGCUUUAAAAUAAAAUUAUAUAAAUUUUUAUAUUCAAAAAUAAAUAUAGGAUUAAAAAUUUCUUUUAUUAAUAAUUUGUUAUAAUUAAUUUUUUUAUAUAGUUAUUUAUAUUAAAAUUUUAUAUUUUUUAUUAAAAUUAUUUAUUUAAUAUUAUAUUAAAUUUAAUAAUGAUAAAAUUAGUAUAUUUUAUUGUAAAAAUAUUUUAUUUUUAUAAGAUUAAUUUAAGGAAUUCGGCAAUAAAAUUUUUCGCCUGUUUAAUAAAAACAUGUCUUUUUGAUUAUAAUUUAAAGUCUAACCUGCCCAAUGAUUUUUAAAUGGCCGCAGUAUUUUGACUGUGCAAAGGUAGCAUAAUCAUUAGUUUUUUAAUUGAAAGCUGGAAUGAAAGGUUGGACGAGAAAAUUACUGUCUCAAAUUAAAUUAAUAAAAUUUUAUUUUUAAGUUAAAAAGCUUAAAUAUUUUUAAAAGACGAGAAGACCCUAUAGAGUUUAAUAUUUAUUUAAAUUUUUAUUUUAUAAUUUAAUAUAUUUUAAUAAAUAUUUUAUUGGGGUGAUAAAUAAAUUUAAAUAACUUUAUUUAAUUUUUAACAUAAAUUUAUGAAUUAUUGAUCCAUUAUUGAUGAUUAUAAGAUUAAAUUACCUUAGGGAUAACAGCGUUAUUUUUCUAGAGAGUUCAAAUCGAAAGAAAAGAUUGCGACCUCGAUGUUGGAUUAAAGUUAAUAUUUGGUGUAGAAGCUAAAUUAUUGAGUCUGUUCGACUUUUAAAACUUUACAUGAUCUGAGUUUAAACCGGUGUGAGCCAGGUUGGUUUCUAUCUUUAAAUAAUUAAAAUAUUUUAGUACGAAAGGACCAAAUAUUUAUAAAAUUUAUUAUUAUUUGAAUAUUAAU
rnacentral:rRNA from 1 species